rnacentral:rRNA from 1 species
CCUACGGGCGGCAGCAGUGAGGAAUAUUGGUCAAUGGACGAGAGUCUGAACCAGCCAAGUAGCGUGAAGGAUGACUGCCCUAUGGGUUGUAAACUUCUUUUAUAAAGGAAUAAAACGAGGCACGUGUGCCUCUUUGCAUGUACUUUAUGAAUAAGGAUCGGCUAACUCCGUGCCAGCAGCCGCGGUAAUACGGAGGAUCCGAGCGUUAUCCGGAUUUAUUGGGUUUAAAGGGAGCGUAGAUGGGUUGUUAAGUCAGUUGUGAAAGUUUGCGGCUCAACCGUAAAAUUGCAAUUGAUACUGGCAGUCUUGAGUACAGUUGAGGUAAGCGGAAUUCGUGGUGUAGCGGUGAAAUGCUUAGAUAUCACGAAGAACCCCGAUUGCGAAGGCAGCUUACUAAACUGUGACUGACAUUGAUGCUCGAAAGUGUGGGUAUCAAACAGGAUUAGAUACCCGGGUAGUC